CCAGGCGCCCCUCUGCUAGAUUUUAUAUACACAUUAGGGAUGUGAAAACUGAGUUUGCAUGACAUUAUUUAACGUUCAAGGUCAUGCAGACAAGAACCAGAGCGGCCUGGAUCUGUCUGACUGUUCAUACCUUCGCAUUCCUCAGUGUAUGUCCUCUAACCUCUAUUUUGUUUUGGUAAUGCUGAUUCAGGAAUGAAUGAAAUAUGUUCAGCCCUACUGGAUCCUAUCAUGUCUUCAAGCUUCCAAGAGAGAUUAUUAUAGUUGGGAUUUAAAAAAAAAUCCCCUUUCAAGUUCACAUAUUUAUGAAUGUGUCAAUGAACACUUUAAGAAUGUAUCUAUCAAUAUCAAAUGUGGUUUUUAGCAGAAACCUUGAAAAAAUUGCAGAAUUAUCCUCUGAAAUAUUGCCGCUAUUAUUUUUUAAAAUUGCAAGAAAAUGUUCUGCCAUUUCAGACCAUUUAUCUCUGUUAACAAGACACUUUUUUAGUUGGAUAGAUAAUGUACACCCAUCUGGUCUGCCGUUUCUUCAUUUACUGUGGUAAUAAUAACUAAAGGCAUUUCUCCAUUGCUUUGGCAAUGCCCAGGCCAAUCUUUCCCCUUUCCUGCUGUUGAUGUGGGAUGCAGAAAACAAAACCAAAAAUGUGACCUGGUUAUACUACACAGACGUGCCAUUUAGGAUGUCAUUUCAGUGUUUAUGAGGGAACAGUGUCUAAGUGUUAAUGAAAGCAGAAGCUUAUUGAAAACAUCCCUCGCUACUCGGGAAAGACACGGGCAAAUGUCCGAAAAUAUUUCUGUGCUCUUAGCAGACACUACCCCAUUCUUACAGCUUCUCUUUCACAGAGCUCUCCGGUACGAGGUCUACACCUUUGCAGAAAAAUGUGUGUCAUUCAGAUUUUUUGCCUGAGUUGGGCAGUCACAUAAGAGAAUUACAAAGAGCUGGACCCACCCUGCACUUGGCUUUAGCGCUGUUUACAACACAACGAGAAGUGAAGCGUUGAGAGACAAUUUUCUGAAUAAUUCAAGAGUUGCACGUUGGCAUACAUUUUGUCUGGGAAUUCUAGAAGGGAUU